rnacentral:rRNA from 1 species
UACGUAGGUGGCAAGCGUUGUCCGGAAUUAUUGGGCGUAAAGAGCGCGCAGGCGGUCUAUCAAGUCAGAUGUGAAAUAUCCAGGCUUAACCUGGAGGGGUCAUUUGAAACUGGUAGACUAGAGUACAGCAGAGGAUAGUGGAAUUCCCGGUGUAGUGGUGAAAUGCGUAGAUAUCGGGAGGAACACCAGUGGCGAAGGCGACUAUCUGGGCUGAAACUGACGCUGAGGCGCGAAGGCUAGGGGAGCAAACAGG